GAUGAACGCUGGCGGCGUGCCUAAUACAUGCAAGUCGAGCGAACAGACGAGGAGCUUGCUCCUCUGACGUUAGCGGCGGACGGGUGAGUAACACGUGGAUAACCUACCUAUAAGACUGGGAUAACUUCGGGAAACCGGAGCUAAUACCGGAUAAUAUAUUGAACCACAUGGUUCAAUAGUGAAAGACGCAUUUGCUGUCACUUAUAGAUGGAUCCGCGCCGCAUUAGCUAGUUGGUAAGGUAACGGCUUACCAAGGCAACGAUGCGUAGCCGACCUGAGAGGGUGAUCGGCCACACUGGAACUGAGACACGGUCCAGACUCCUACGGGAGGCAGCAGUAGGGAAUCUUCCGCAAUGGGCGAAAGCUUGACGGAGCAACGCCGCGUGAGUGAUGAAGGUCUUCGGAUCGUAAAACUCUGUUAUUAGGGAAGAACAAAUGUGUAAGUAACUAUGCACGUCUUGACGGUACCUAAUCAGAAAGCCACGGCUAACUACGUG
rnacentral:rRNA from 1 species